rnacentral:lncRNA from 1 species
CUUUGCUUUUGUCUCUGACUUUUAGCUACCUUGUCUUUUAGCAUUUGCUCCGUGCUCCGGCUUUGGCUGCCCUUUCUUGACCUCCUUUUCGGGGUCAUCGGCUGUUGUGCUAUACCGGUGGCUCUCUGUUGUGGCUCCACUCUGCUCCGUUUUCGACCUUCUCCCUCGCACCAGUUUUAUGUCCGUUCAUUUGUAGCUUGAUUUGGUCGAUCCUUUUGACAGUUCUUGUGAGAUUCUUGGAUCCAAUUGAGUGUGGUGCUACCUUGUUGCUUUCAAUUGGUUAAUCUGAGCCUCGAUCAUCCACUACGCAUCUUGGAACAUGGAUUUGUUAGGAAAUUAUUUUUCUUGCGAUUUCAAUAUAGUUAAUUCAAUUUCUGGCUUAUAGUAUUGAUAUCUAACUUGGUGUUUAAUUAUCUUUACUUGUUAGGAACACUAUUUUACAACCAGCAGGAAUAUGCUAUUUGCACGAAGAAUGGCCCGAAGUUGGCUAUGACCUCAAAACAAUAGACUUCUAGCUGUCAGAUGAAGGAGAACCAUUGAUAUCAAUGUUUAAAUUUGAUUAUCAUAACAACAGCAAAAAAGGAGGUAACACCAUUAUAGCAAGAUGGUGUUGGAAUGCGGAAUCGGAAUUAUCCAGAAAUUAAAAAUUUCUUUAAUUCAAUAGCCAAGAUCGUUUAGAUGUUCACGUGUAUGUUAUAUCAAAAUUAAAGGAUUUGAAUCUUUUACCUAAGUUCAAUUAUCAACCUUUGAAUUGAUUUUGAACCACGAAUUUU